CCCGUAUGUACAGCUUGAAUCAACAACGUUACAGUGUACAGUUCAUUAAAUCCUAGUACAUUUCCUGCCCUUAAAUUUCUGGUGCACAUAUUUUAAGAAUGGGAAAAACUAAUGACUGACAAGAAAACUUACUCUUGAGAUCCAAACCCAGAUGGCUGGCCUAUACAGUGAUUGAAAAAAAAAGAAAGAUUUAAGACGUCAUUGUAAAACUACAAAAGAUCAAGGCUACCGCCAAAGCUUGGACUACCAAAGCCACCCGUGCUACCUGCCCCAGCUUGCUGAUUAAGAUUUCCAAAAGUCUGCUGUCCUUGCUGUGUAAGGGAGUUAAAUGAUGGAGCUUGUGCAGAUGCAGCUAGAGU